GUCAGGGGACAGAGACCACGGCACCUCAGGGCGCCCAGGACACACCCUGCCCCUCCAUUCUGUUCUCUCCAGGCCCCCAGCGGGCGACGGGCCCACUUGGGGGUGCAGUUGGUGAUCGUGCUCUGCUCCCCCGGUCUCCCAUCUCCAGAAACAUUUCAUGGCCACAGAGACACCUUCCACCAGGUAUCAGGCCUCCCUCAGCUCAGGCGGAGGACACAGGGUCCCGGCAACUGGGACGUGGGUGUGCAGCACAGGGCGGGGCUGUGUCAUUUCUCUUGUCCCUUAGCUUCGAAAUGGAAGCCCCAGAGAAUGAGGAAGGUGUGGAAUGGGCCCCUGGGGAACGCGUCUGAGGCCUCCUGGACAUGACUCUGUGCCCAUGCCACACUUCGAUGGGCGGACAUCAAACCCGCUGUGCGCUCAGUGCCGUGACACUGCGUGAAUGACUGGAGAGGCCGGUGGGAUUGGAUGGAGGGGGUGAAGAAAGGCAAAGCUUUUGCUCCUUCUCUGGUUUUUCUUAAGUUCUCUCCUCCUCCUCUCAUUUCAAAGGCUUAUCCUGGAGUGAUUGGGAGGCUCAGGAAGCCAUUGUGAUUCUCAGGUGAUUCGCAUAUGGGUAUUUAUAGUCUUCCAAGUCUUUAACAUUUAAAAAUUGAGCUUACUGUCCUUAGUAAAUAUUGCUGGUUGAUUUCUGCUCAUUCACUUUAUCUUUAGCCUAGAAUGGUUUUAUAGUUGCGAAGGAGGUAAAACCUCCUGUAAAACCAUGCCUCUCAAUCCCAGCUUUCUUAAAGAUUCCGAGUCACAACUGCUGGCAUUGUAAGGGAACAUCUGACUAGUGAGUUAAGAGGCCAGCUCUCACUGUUUACAUGUUUAUCUCAUCGGUUCUUGAACAUUUGCUGGAUUCCUGAUCUGUGUCAGUUGUGGGGACAGAUGGAUAAUUAUGGGGUCCUCUCAAGAAGUUACAUCUGUUGGACAAAAUAAUCUGGGUUACAGACAGCUACUCAUUCCUGCAGAUGCACUGGAGUCCACCUUCAUGAAACAUGAUUUGCAAGGGGUGUGUGUGUACACAGAUACAUACGCAUGCGUGUGCAGGCACACACAUACACACACAUUCACUGCACCCAAUUCAUUUUUUGGAACUUUAAACAACCUUUUUUUUAAAAAAAGAAAAAAAGUCCUGAAAUUCAGCUUAUAGUUUGGGGAGACAUGUCUAUCUAGGUUUCCUAUAAUGCUUUAUAGUACAGUAUUGUAAUCCAGGUCAUGAAACAAUCUAAAGUUUCCAUAGUUUGAAAUGCAUUAUAAUCUUUAUAUAAACAUAAUCUACGACUGUAUAACUGUAAUCUUACAAAACCUUCAAAAUCUGUUUUGUGGAAACUGAGCCUUUUACUCUCAGAAAAUGUUUGUAAAACAGACAGGCAACCCUGUUGGAAAAUGCAAAGGCUCUUAGAGUUCUUACUGAGCUACCUUACUUCCUGCUUGGUGAGUUUUAAGAGUGUUUAAUGGUUUUGUUUAUCUAGGUGAUGUGUGUAACUCACAGCUCAAGGACAAUGAAAAUCCUUUCUUUCUGCACUUGUUUUCUUGUGUAUGCUUAUCUUUGGCCGCAUUGGAUGGAAAGAGCAAGCUUCCUCCUCCUGGACGUUUGGGGCUGGACCAUUCUUCGUUCUGGGGCUGCAUCCCUGGCGGCCCCGCACCUUGUGCCCAGCAGGGACAGCCACAGUGGCCCCGGCACUGCUGUGUGUCCAGCAGCUGAGAACCACUGCUCCAGCAUGGGACGCUGCUGUCCUCACAGUGCAGCGCACUUCCGGCUGCCUCAGGCUUUCCGGGGAAUAAUGCUUCUGGUGUUUUUCCAUUCAGCACAUGCAGUUUUGGGGCGGCCCAGGAAGUACAAUUUUACUUCCAUUUAAAAUAAAUAAAAUGUUAAACUGCAUUAAAAUGGAUUCAUGAUAAUGUUGAAUAAAUUCUAAAAGAACUCCUACAAUUCAGCGGGUCCCUGAGGACCAGGGCUGGUGCGUGCGUGUGUGCAGCUGUUGGGCAGGGGCUGUUGUGUAACCUUUGACUUGGACGCUUGGCUCUCAGAAGCAGGAAGAAGAAUGUGAGCCUGAGCACAGCCAGGCUCUGCCCGGAGAAGCCAAGGAGACCAAAUCAGAGAUGAUUAUCGCUGCGACUGCGCAUUUGGCGUAGAUGGAUUCUUCAGCCGUUCCUUUCAAGUGACAGUUUAUAGCUCUUUCUGUUUUUACUCAUUUGGCUUCUGCUUUCAAACGCUCACAUACAGGAUGAAGCUAGGAGCCCCCGCUCUGAGCUUCCCCUGGCCUUGAGAUGUCGCCUCCAGGAUGGGACGAGGAUGGCUGACAUGGCGAGGCUGGCAGUCCCACCCACCUCUCAGGCCCAGGUGGGCCAUCGCAGACAGCACAGAUGGUGAAAACACAGUUAUGCUGGUGGAUUCCCACACAGGACAUGGGCAGAGCCGCUGCACACACAGAGGGAAGACUCGCCUGCCCUGUGCUCAGGCCCCCACCCCUCCACCUGGCACUGCUACCACAGUACCUGCCGCACGUGGGCUCCACCUCCAGCACCAGCUCUGCUGCCUGGCCCGGCCUAGGUUUGGCUGCGAUUCAACGCAGAGUCCCAACGGGCAGCCCAGGUGUGCAGUCUCAGACCCUCGCCUGCUGCCAAGGGAACAUUUAAUCUGUUGACUGCAUUCAGUUAGGCCAGUCUGGCAAGGGUGCGUGGAACUGUAAAUUACUCCGAUGCUUAAUUUAUUUGGUGUGGAAGGCUCUCUCUUCGACUCUAGCUGUCUCAAGCUGAAGAUGAAACACUGCUUCGUUUGCAAGUCGUAAAAACUUUAACAGACUUGUGCCUUAAAGAGUGAGACCCUCUGACUUCACAAGUGCAACUGCUGUGCGAUGCUGGGUCAUUUACCCCGGGGAGAGCUGCAGCGUAAACAGACUGCAAGAGAAGGGAGCAGAACGGGCCUCACUUCUGGUGUGAACACAGCCUGGGAGAAGCUGGAGAGAGGGCCGAAGGCCACCUCAGGGCUUGUCAGCGCACCCUGCCCACUGUCACCCGGGCGGGGAGGAUGAGGCCCUGCAAGUAGAACCUGAGCCUAGUCCUGUACGAGGUCGCUACCCGGUUCGCGGGCGUGUCAUUAUUUCAAGUCUGAUCUCACACUCGGGCACGUGGCCUGAAGAAAGCUCGGUACAGGGGCCCAUACCUGUGAUCCCAGCACUGUGGGAGGCUGAGACAGGAGGAUAGCAAGUUUGAGUCCAGCCUGGGCAACUUAGCAAAUAAGCAAGAUCCUUGCCCAGAAUAAAAAUAAAAAGGGAUGGAAGGGUGUCUUAGUGUGAAGGUCCUGGGUUCAAUCCUUACUACCAGAAAAUUAAAGAAAAAAACAAACAGCAGUUCCCUCCAGCAGGUACCCUUCAUGGGCUUCUGUCUUGCUGCAGAGGUGGAAUCCGAUCUGGAUCAGAAUCCCAGGAAGUUAGCCUGGGAAAGGGAUUCAUCUGGGUUGUGGGGGAGGAAGCGGCUCCAUGCAGGACCCACAAGUUGCCAGUUAACGCACGGCGGAACCGGGGCCGUCGGUUAGCUGUGUGCCAGCGGCCAAGAAAUUAUGGAAAUGCGUUCCUGGCCGCAGGUUGAAAAGGACAAGUUUGGAAGUUGCCGAGUGCGCGCCCCGUCAGGGAGUUUCUCAUCAUGGGGUAGACAAAGGGCUGUUUAUGUUUCAUCCAUUUCCAUGCAGAAAGGUUCCUAAGACAGCGCCAAGAGCUCUCGUCCACACGGUGUGCAUCCACUCUUUCACUAUAUUGUGCUUCUCUUCUGAAAAUGCAACAUUCUAUGGUUAAAAUGUCCCUUGUGCCCAGGAGUAUAGCUUACCACAUCAUUGAUGCAGUUGCAUAAAUACUGCGUGGGGCUGGAGAUGGUGAAAGAACGUUUUAGGUCUGAGCGUGAGCUUUGUCUCUGAAAUACUUUCUGAGAACACAGUGUGCGCGGAGCUGGUGGAUAUAGUGGUCCCCUCAGGGUCACGUCACCUGACUAUCAGUGUGCCAGACCAGGAAGAUUAGCACUCGGCCAAAAGAGAGGGGGAAGCUUUUCAUGUUUCAUGAUCUCCUUAGCGCAUGGCCCAGCUGGAGUUAAAAAGCCCUACAAUUGUUCAGCUCCUCAGAGACGUCAAAUCUCAAGGAUGCAGCAGAGACUCUGCAGGGCCCAACUCUGCUCCACCCCAUUCUAUGCUAUUUUCUCUUCUGAAUAGAACACCAAGGAUAGUGGCAGCAGGAGGAGGGAGUAGGAUACGCUCCAUACUCACACCAGCUCCCUGCCGUGUAUGGCAGUGACACACGAGUGAAGCACAGUGUCAGCUUCACUCUGGAGUCAGGGCAGCCUGGGGCUGAAGCCCAGCUCCCUGGCCGGGCCUACAGGCAUCACACCAUCUCCGUAACCCCGAGUGGGCACGGGGGCUUGGCUGCGGUGGCUCCGGGAGGAUGAAGUGAGGCAAAGUGCAGAGUGCUGAGCGGACAGCUCUCCCCCACGACGCCGGACGUUUGGGGUUUGCUUUUCACACAGCACUGGACCUUUACAAAGAAAGUCAGAGAUGGAGAUUUAAAAACUAGAUGUGCCCAACUGAUCACGUUAAUGUUUUUUAUUCUUACAGUGGGAGUCUUUUGUGAAGUAGAGUCAUAAGCCUAGAGGUUUAGAUUCUAAAGAUUCAUUCCACAACCUGAUCCACAUAAGGAGCGAGACAGUAAAUAACCACUUUUUAACCAGAAUAUAUUUGGUUCUGUGAAUCAAAGAAUGAUGUUCUGAGAGCGAGCUCCAGAAAAGCAUCCUCAACUGGUGGCUUGAGGAAACCGUGACAGAGCUGCUUCUGCCCAGCGCAGUGCAGGGUGCUGCACAGUAGGAGUCCGGUAUCUGCAAAAUGAAUGAAUGACUGAGUGUCACAGGCAAGGUCCUGAAACCUGCAGAAUUUUAGAGUUGGAAGUGGCUGUCUGCUCAGCUAGCACAGGAGAAGCACAGCGACGUGGUGCAUCUGCAGCAGCAGCAGAGCUGUGUGCGGUGUUUCCGGACGAUCUGACCGCAGAAGCCCUGAAGAGAGCGGCCUUUGGUGCCGAUGGCCUUUGGGACACUGCAUGGGACUCUGACUCGAGGCUUCAGCGGUGCUCACUUUCCCGGACACUUCCCUUGGGCACCGGGAGUGUUUCCCACUGUCGCACUGCGUCUCCAUUGCUCUUGAGAAGUCUGCGGUGAUCCAAUCAUCAGCGCCUCCAGCGAGGUCUUCCUUGGCCACCCGCUGCUUCUCCACGUUCUCCAGAUUCUCUGUAACAUGUCUGAGGCACGAAUUUCCUUCCACUUAUUCCUCUGAGGACCUACUCCGCUUCUACAUCUGUGGACUUGGGUCUUUUCAUCAGGUCAGAAGAGCUUCCGGGUAUUAGGGUUUCAAAUAUUGUGUCCCUUAGAUUCUAUCAUCUCGUUACAAAACUCCGAUUAAAUGAAUAUUUGAAAACUUCUCAUUCUGUCUUCUGCAUCUUUAACCUUUUUGAGUUUGUUUUCAUGUUUUCCAUUUCCUACUUUUUCUACUACAUUCUAGACAAUUUCUUCACCUAUUUCCUUAAUUCACAAGUCCUCUUUUCAGAUAGUUAACAUAUUCAUUAAAUUGCUUUUAUUGAUUUUAUUUUUGAUCUUAACCCUUUCUUCCCUCUUUCCUUAUCUUCUUCCUCCCUCGCUCCUUCAGGCCUCUCCUCUUCUCUCCCUCCCUCUCUUCCUUCUUUCUUCCUUUUUGGGAAUCUACCUGAUCACCCCUGAGGGUCCUUCAUUCUGGUUUAUCUUCAGGAGUUCACUCCAUAUUUUCUUAAAUGUUUUGCGAUUCUCUAUUAGAAAGGCAACAAGGUAUAGUGAUAAACUCUAGAACUGAACUGCUUGAAUUGUAGUGCUACCACGGAAGAGAAAUUGAGGAGGACAAAUUUCCUAAUUUGUCUGUGCCUCAGCUUUUUCAUUUUUAAGACGGGAUAGCAAUCGUAUUUGCUUCAUAGGGUUUUAAUGAGAAUUAAAUAUGCCAAAAUUUGAGAAAUCUUUAUAACAAUGCCUAGCAUAUAAUUGGUGUAUACAUUUUUAUAAAUAAAAAAAUUCUGUACCUGAAAACUCCAGUAUCCAA